rnacentral:misc_RNA from 1 species
GAACUGAUAGUGGAGAAUAAAUUCAUACUGUUCUAAACUUCAAAACAAAAUUUGAUAGGAUUGUUUACAAUGUAAAAAUGAAAAUUUUACAUGCACAAGUUUCAGCUGAAACUGAUUUUUUUAAGACAUAAGGCCGUUAUGUCACACCUUGCAAUGCAAUCAGUGUCACAGGCGCAUUUCUAUGUGCUGAUGAAAACUGAAGAUCAAAGUUAACCUGCAAGUUUACUGGGUGGCAGGAAGCAAAUAAUUUCUCCACCCAAAUCAUCACAGGGCCUGCUAAAAAAAGUAUGAAUGAUCGUCUGAGAAACAAUGUUCGCAACUUCCUUUCAAUGGAUAUCUCUCACCUCAACCUCAUCCUCCGUCAGUUAUGUAGAAACCAGAGCAUGAAGAUCAGUAGAUGGGCCUCUUAGGCAAACAAGCCCCCAGUCCCUAUUUCCCCUUGCUGCAGCUCCUUUCUGUGCUGCUCUUCUAAAGGAUCUGGACUCUUCAAUAUUCUUCGCAGACGCCUGUCUUGAGCAUGCUGAGCAGGAAAAGUAGGCAUGAAAUCUUUAGACUUCGGAAGAGGAACUUCACGAAACCACUCAUGGUUAAGAGCAGUAUCAGCACUUAUUCGCUUCUCAGGGUCAUAGGUUAGA